CUUUGUUAUGAUGAUGGCUAAAUAUGUUCAACUGCUCUGAUGUCUCGGAAGAAAAUAUGCCUAUCUGAACAGAC